rnacentral:rRNA from 1 species
GAGCGUAGGGCGCGAGCGUUUGUCCGGAUUUAUUGGGGCGUAAAGAGCUCGUAGGCGCUUGUUGCGUCAGCUGUGAAAACCCGCAGCUCAACUGUGGGCUUGCAGCUGAUACGGGCAGGACUUGAGUUCGGUAGGGGAGACUGGAAAUUCCUGGUGUAGCGGUGAAAUGCGCAGAUAUCAGGAGGAACACCGGUGGCGAAGGCGGGUCUCUGGGCCGAUACUGACGCUGAGGAGCGAAAGCGUGGGGAGCGAACAGG